rnacentral:rRNA from 1 species
CCUACGGGAGGCAGCAGUGGGGAAUAUUGCACAAUGGGGGAAACCCUGAUGCAGCGACGCCGCGUGGGUGACGAAGUAUUUCGGUAUGUAAAGCCCUAUCAGCAGGGAAGAAGAUGACAGUACCUGACUAAGAAGCCCCGGCUAACUACGUGCCAGCAGCCGCGGUAAUACGUAGGGGGCAAGCGUUAUCCGGAUUUACUGGGUGUAAAGGGAGCGUAGACGGCAAGGCAAGUCUGGAGUGAAAGCCCGUGGCCCAACCACGGGACUGCUUUGGAAACUGUGUUGCUGGAGUGCAGGAGGGGUAA